AGCUACGCACUGUGCACAGAGCGAACUAUUCUUUCGCCUUUUACUAAAGAAUACCGUGUGUACAUUGCAUAGAGUGGCAUACGCCAAUUUUUUAAGGGUCUUUUCCUUUAUUUGGAAAUU